CAGCAGCCGCGGUAAUACGUAGGUGGCAAGCGUUGUCCGGAAUUAUUGGGCGUAAAGGGCUCGCAGGCGGUUUCUUAAGUCUGAUGUGAAAGCCCCCGGCUCAACCGGGGAGGGUCAUUGGAAACUGGGAAACUUGAGUGCAGAAGAGGGGAGUGGAAUUCCACGUGUAGCGGUGAAAUGCGUAGAGAUGUGGAGGAACACCAGUGGCAAAGGCGACUCUCUGGUCCAUUACUGACGCUGAGGCGCGAAAGCGUGGGGAGCAAACAGGAUUAGAUACCCCGGUAGUCCCUGUCUCUUAUAC
rnacentral:rRNA from 1 species